AGCGAACGCUAGCGGCGGGCCCAACACAUGCAAGUCGAGCGGGGAGCAAUCCCAGCGGCGAACGGGUGAGUAACACGUGGGUAAUGUGCCUUCUGGUGGGGAAUAACCUUGGGAAACCAGGGCUAAUACCGCAUAUCGUGCUUCGGCAUGAAAGCCUUCGGGCGCCAGUAGAGCAGCCUGCGUCCCAUUAUUUAGUCCUAGUUGGUAGGGUAAUGGCCUACCAAGGGUACGAUGGGUAGCUGGUCUGAGAGGAUGAUCAGCCACACUGGAACUGAGACACGGUCCAGACUCCUACGGGAGGCAGCAGUGGGGAAUAUUGGACAAUGGGCGCAAGCCUGAUCCAGCAAUGCCGCGUGUGUGAAGAAGGCCUGCGGGUUGUAAAGCACUUUCAGUGGGAAGAACAGAUUCGGGUCAAUACCCCGGAGCCCUGACGUUACCCACAGAAGAAGCACCGGCUAACUCCGUGCCAGCAGACGCGGUAAAGUAGUCGUGU
rnacentral:rRNA from 1 species